rnacentral:rRNA from 1 species
GAUUUGUUGCAAGGUUAAGCGGAAAAAGCGGAGCCGUAGCGAAAGCGAGUCUGAAUAGGGCGCAUAAGUAACAGGUCGUAGACCCGAAACCAGGUGAUCUACCCAUGUCCAGGAUGAAGGUAAGGUAAUACUUACUGGAGGUCCGAACCCACGCACGUUGAAAAGUGCGGGGAUGAGGUGUGGGUAGCGGAGAAAUUCCAAUCGAACUUGGAGAUAGCUGGUUCUCUCCGAAAUAGCUUUAGGGCUAGCCUCGAGGUAAAGAGUCAUGGAGGUAGAGCACUGUUUGGACUAGGGGCCCUUCUCGGGUUACCGAAUUCAGAUAAACUCCGAAUGCCAUGUACUUAUACUCGGGAGUCAGACUGCGAGUGAUAAGAUCCGUAGUCGAAAGGGAAACAGCCCAGACCACCAGUUAAGGUCCCCAAAUAUAUGUUAAGUGGAAAAGGAUGUGGGGUUGCUUAGACAACCAGGAUGUUGGCUUAGAAGCAGCCACCAUUGAAAGAGUGCGUAAUAGCUCACUGGUCGAGUGACCCCGCGCCGAAAAUGUACCGGGGCUAAACAUAUUACCGAAACUGUGGAUGAACCUCUUUAGAGGUUCGUGGUAGGAGAGCGUUCUAAGGGCGGUGAAGUCAGACCGGAAGGACUGGUGGAGCGCUUAGAAGUGAGAAUGCCGGUAUGAGUAGCGAAAGAAGGGUGAGAAUCCCUUCCACCGAAUAUCUAAGGUUUCCUGAGGAAGGCUCGUCCGCUCAGGGUUAGUCGGGACCUAAGCCGAGGCCGAUAGGCGUAGGCGAUGGACAACAGGUAGAGAUUCCUGUACCAGUGCUAAUUGUUUAACCGAUGGGGUGACACAGAAGGAUAGGGAAUCGCACGAAUGGAAAUGUGCGUCCAAGCAGUGAGUGUGAGAAGUAGGCAAAUCCGCUUCUCGCGAAGCAUGAGCUGUGAUGGGGAAGGAAAUUAAGUACGGAAGUUCCUGAUUUCACGCUGUCAAGAAAAGCCUCUAGGAAGAGUAGUACUGCCCGUACCGCAAACCGACACAGGUAGAUGAGGAGAGAAUCCUAAGGUGAGCGAGAGAACUCUCGUUAAGGAACUCGGCAAAAUGACCCCGUAACUUCGGGAGAAGGGGUGCUCUAUUAGGGUGCAAGCCCGAGAGAGCCGCAGUGAAUAGGCCCAGGCGACUGUUUAGCAAAAACACAGGUCUCUGCAAAACCGUAAGGUGACGUAUAGGGGCUGACGCCUGCCCGGUGCUGGAAGGUUAAGAGGAGUGCUUAGCUUCGGCGAAGGUACGAAUUGAAGCCCCAGUAAACGGCGGCCGUAACUAUAACGGUCCUAAGGUAGCGAAAUUCCUUGUCGGGUAAGUUCCGACCCGCACGAAAGGCGCAACGAUCUGGGCACUGUCUCAACGAGAGACUCGGUGAAAUUAUAGUACCUGUGAAGAUGCAGGUUACCCGCGACAGGACGGAAAGACCCCGUGGAGCUUUACUGCAACCUGAUAUGGAAUGUUUGUACCGCUUGUACAGGAUAGGUAGGAGCCGAAGAGACGUGUGCGCUAGCAUACGAGGAGGCAAUGGUGGGAUACUACCCUGGCUGUAUGACCAUUCUAACCCGCCACGCUUAGCGCGUGGGGAGACAGUGUCAGGUGGGCAGUUUGACUGGGGCGGUCGCCUCCUAAAGAGUAACGGAGGCGCCCAAAGGUUCCCUCAGAAUGGAUGGAAAUCAUUCGCAGAGUGUAAAGGCACAAGGGAGCUUGACUGCGAGACUGACAAGUCGAGCAGGGACGAAAGUCGGGCUUAGUGAUCCGGUGGUUCCGCAUGGAAGGGCCAUCGCUCAACGGAUAAAAGCUACCCCGGGGAUAACAGGCUUAUCUCCCCCAAGAGUCCACAUCGACGGGGAGGUUUGGCACCUCGAUGUCGGCUCGUCGCAUCCUGGGGCUGUAGUCGGUCCCAAGGGUUGGGCUGUUCGCCCAUUAAAGCGGCACGCGAGCUGGGUUCAGAACGUCGUGAGACAGUUCGGUCCCUAUCCGUCGCGGGCGCAGGAAAUUUGAGAGGAGCUGUCCUUAGUACGAGAGGACCGGGAUGGACACACCGCUGGUGUACCAGUUGUUCCGCCAGGAGCAUCGCUGGGUAGCUAUGUGUGGCAGGGAUAAACGCUGAAAGCAUCUAAGCGUGAAGCCCCCCUCAAGAUGAGAUUUCCCAUUUCUUCGGAAAGUAAGAUCCCUGAAAGAUGAUCAGGUAGAUAGGUUUGGAGUGGAAGUGUAGCGAUACAUGGAGCGGACAAAUACUAAUCGAUCGAGGACUUAACCAAAA